rnacentral:rRNA from 1 species
GCAUAUCAAUAAGCGGAGGAAAAGAAACCAACAGGGAUUGCCCUAGUAACGGCCGAGUGAAGCGGCAACAGCUCAAAUUUGAAAUCUGGCGUCUUUGGCGUCCGAGUUGUAAUUUGCAGAGGGCGCUUUGGCAUUGGCAGCGGUCCAAGUUCCUUGGAACAGGACGUCACAGAGGGUGAGAAUCCCGUACGUGGUCGCUAGCCUUUACCGUGUAAAGCCCCUUCGACGAGUCGAGUUGUUUGGGAAUGCAGCUCUAAAUGGGAGGUAAAUUUCUUCUAAAGCUAAAUACUGGCCAGAGACCGAUAGCGCACAAGUAGAGUGAUCGAAAGAUGAAAAGCACUUUGGAAAGAGAGUUAAAAAGCACGUGAAAUUGUUGAAAGGGAAGCGCUUGCAGCCAGACUUGCCUGUAGUUGCUCAUCUAGGUUUCUACCUAGUGCACUCUUCUAUAGGCAGGCCAGCAUCAGUUUGGGCGGUUGGAUAAAGGUCUCUGUCAUGUACCUCUCUUCGGGGAGAACUUAUAGGGGAGACGACAUGCAACCAGCCUGGACUGAGGUCCGCGCAUCUGCUAGGAUGCUGGCGUAAUGGCUGUAAGCGGCCCGUCUUGAAACACGGACCAAGGAGUCUAACAUCUAUGCGAGUGUUUGGGUGUCAAGCCCGAGCGCGUAAUGAAAGUGAACGGAGGUGGGAACCUUUCGGGGUGCACCAUCGACCGAUCCUGAUGUCUUCGGAUGGAUUUGAGUAAGAGCAUAGCUGUUGGGGACCCGAAAGAUGGUGAACUAUGCUUGAAUAGGGUGAAGCCAGAGGAAACUCUGGUGGAGGCUCGCAGCGGUUCUGACGUGCAAAUCGAUCGUCAAAUUUGGGGCAUAGGGGCGAAAGACUAAUCGAACUAUCUAGUAGCUGGUUCCUGCCCGAAGUU